UACGGGGGGGGCAAGCGUUGUUCGGAAUUACUGGGCGUAAAGGGUUUGUAGGUGGCCAACUAAGUCAGACGUGAAAUCCCUCAGCUUAACUGGGGAACUGCGUCUGGUACUGCUUGGCUUGAGUGCAGGAGAGGAACGCGGAAUUCCAGGUGUAGCGGUGAAAUGCGUAGAUAUCUGGAGGGACACCGGUGGCGAAGGCGGCAUCCUGGACCGGCAUUGACGCUGAGGCGCGAAAGCCAGGGGAGCAAACGGG
rnacentral:rRNA from 1 species